rnacentral:rRNA from 1 species
UGGUGAUAAUGGCGGAGGGGUUCCACUCGUUCCCAUCCCGAACACGAUCGUUAAGCCCUCUAGCGCCGAUGGUACUUGGACCGCAGGGUCCUGGGAGAGUAGGUCAUUGCCAG